rnacentral:tRNA from 1 species
GGGGCCAUAGCUCAGUUCGGGAGAGCACAAGCUUUGCACGCUUGAGGUCGCCGGUUCGAGGCCGGCUGGCUCCACCA